AGCUGGAGUCUCUUGGGGGCGGCAGCAGCAGGCUCCAGGGCUUCAGCUUGGUUCUAGUGGGUGGUGCAGGGGGCUGUGGGGGAUGAAAGUCUCUUGUCUGGACAGCAGUAGAUACUCUAGGCUCAGAAAAACAAUGUUUAUUUCAUUGUCAGCUAUGUCAGAACUUAAGUGGCUGCAAGUAACAGAAAGUCAUAGAGACAUGGGGACAGAGGUAGCUUUGGUAUUCUCUUCCGGCAUGUGUCAGCCCUCUGUCAUUGGCUAUACCAUCUCAUGGCUACAGGAUGGCUACCAUAUCCCCAGACAGUACUUUCACACCCCAGAUGGGGGAAUUAGAAAGGACCGGUCCCUUUAUGGAGAGAGUGAAGCAGAAAGUUCUAGCAAGGAACAUUAACACCUUGCAGGUGAGAAAGGCAGGAAGGUGCUGGGUGUGCAAUUAGCAGAGUCUGCUUCAGGGGUAUAAACUGAUUACAUGGACUGGCAAUGAGACCUCUGUGGGGAGGGAUGUCUGGUGGUCUCAGUGCACCAGUGCAGGCUGAAGGACAGUCUGACAUGGAAGAAAGGAGGUGACAAGACUGGGGGGGACCAGUUGAGAAGGAUAUAGCCCCAGGAAUGCCUGUGCACUACUUGUGUGCUACUAGGCCACAGGCUACUGCCUGAGAACAUCCUGUUUAGAAAUCUGAACUUACAGGGUUGGGGAUUUAGCUCAGUGGUAGAGCGCUUGCCUAGCAAGCGCAAGGCCCUGGGUUGGGUCCCCAGCUCCGAAAAAUAGGGAAAAAAAAGAAAAAAAAAAAGAAAAAAA
rnacentral:lncRNA from 1 species